rnacentral:tRNA from 1 species
AGAAAGAUAAACUAAUAAAAGUUACUAGGUUCAUACCCUAAUUAUAGAAGUAAAAUCUUCUUCUUUCUA